UAGGUGGCAAGCGUUAUCCGGAAUUAUUGGGCGUAAAGGGUGCGCAGGCGGUUCAUUAAGUUUAGGGUGAAAGCGUUGGGCUCAACCCAAUAUAGCCUUAAAAACUGAUAAACUAGAGUGCAGAAGAGGGUAGUGGAAUUCCAUGUGUAGCGGUAAAAUGCGUAGAUAUAUGGAGGAACACCAGUGGCGAAGGCGGCUACCUGGUCUGUAACUGACGCUCAGGCACGAAAGCGUGGGGAGCAAA
rnacentral:rRNA from 1 species